AUUAGAUCCGUUUGAGCAUGGCUCAGAUUGAACGCUGGCGGCAGGCCUAACACAUGCAAGUCGAGCGGAUGAAGGGAGCUUGCUCCUGGAUUCAGCGGCGGACGGGUGAGUAAUGCCUAGGAAUCUGCCUGGUAGUGGGGGAUAACGUCCGGAAACGGGCGCUAAUACCGCAUACGUCCUGAGGGAGAAAGUGGGGGAUCUUCGGACCUCACGCUAUCAGAUGAGCCUAGGUCGGAUUAGCUAGUUGGUGGGGUAAAGGCCUACCAAGGCGACGAUCCGUAACUGGUCUGAGAGGAUGAUCAGUCACACUGGAACUGAGACACGGUCCAGACUCCUACGGGAGGCAGCAGUGGGGAAUAUUGGACAAUGGGCGAAAGCCUGAUCCAGCCAUGCCGCGUGUGUGAAGAAGGUCUUCGGAUUGUAAAGCACUUUAAGUUGGGAGGAAGGGCAGUAAGUUAAUACCUUGCUGUUUUGACGUUACCAACAGAAUAAGCACCGGCUAACUUCGUGCCAGCAGCCGCGGUAAUACGAAGGGUGCAAGCGUUAAUCGGAAUUACUGGGCGUAAAGCGCGCGUAGGUGGUUCAGCAAGUUGGAUGUGAAAUCCCCGGGCUCACCUGGGAACUGCAUCCAAAACUACUGAGCUAGAGUACGGUAGAGGGUGGUGGAAUUUCCUGUGUAGCGGUGAAAUGCGUAGAUAUAGGAAGGAACACCAGUGGCGAAGGCGACCACCUGGACUGAUACUGACACUGAGGUGCGAAAGCGUGGGGAGCAACAGGAUUAGAUACCCUGGUAGUCCCGCCGUAAACGAUGUCGACUAGCCGUNGGGAUCCUUGAGAUCUUAGUGGCGCAGCUAACGCGAUAAGUCGACCCGCCUGGGGAGUACGGCCGCAAGGUUAAAACUCAAAUGAAUUGACGGGGGCCCGCACAAGCGGUGGAGCAUGUGGUUUAAUUCGAAGCAACGCGAAGAACCUUACCUGGCCUUGACAUGCUGAGAACUUUCCAGAGAUGGAUUGGUGCCUUCGGGAACUCAGACACAGGUGCUGCAUGGCUGUCGUCAGCUCGUGUCGUGAGAUGUUGGGUUAAGUCCCGUAACGAGCGCAACCCUUGUCCUUAGUUACCAGCACCUCGGGUGGGCACUCUAAGGAGACUGCCGGUGACAAACCGGAGGAAGGUGGGGAUGACGUCAAGUCAUCAUGGCCCUUACGGCCAGGGCUACACACGUGCUACAAUGGUCGGUACAAAGGGUUGCCAAGCCGCGAGGUGGAGCUAAUCCCAUAAAACCGAUCGUAGUCCGGAUCGCAGUCUGCAACUCGACUGCGUGAAGUCGGAAUCGCUAGUAAUCGUGAAUCAGAAUGUCACGGUGAAUACGUUCCCGGGCCUUGCACACACCGCCCGUAAGCUUCCG
rnacentral:rRNA from 1 species